UACGGGGGGGGCAAGCGUUGUUCGGAAUUACUGGGCGUAAAGGGCUCGUAGGCGGCCAACUAGGUCGGACGUGAAAUCCCCAGGCUCAACCGUGGGAACUGCGUCCGAUACUGGAUGGCUUGAAUUCGGGAGAGGGAUGCAGAAUUCCGACGUGUAGCGGUGAAAUGCGUAGAGAUGUGGAGGAAUACCGAUGGCGAAGGGCGACCCUCGGUCGAAUGACCU
rnacentral:rRNA from 1 species